GGCUCUUCAGUGUAAAUAUUCUCUUAUCAGGUAAAAAGUCUGUUCUAAUGAGCUUAAUAUCUGUUACAUCCUGCAUCACAGGACUACAAUAUUAAACUCAUUUUUUGCUCAUGACAGACUGCUAAGAGCAUGGUCUACUUCUGUCACAGGAUGCUAUCUCGAUUUUAAACUCUCUUCAAGAAACCAAAUCCUU